GUGCUCACUUUGGCAGCACAUACAGCAAAAUUGGAACAAUACAAAGAUUAUCAUGGCCAUUGUGCAGGGAUGACACAUAAAUUCAUGCAGUGUUCAUAUUUUAA
ensembl:snRNA U6 U6 spliceosomal RNA